rnacentral:sRNA from 1 species
GCUACCUGUGAAUUAAACAUUUAUCAAACAGGCUCUAGUAUAAACACCUGGUCAAUCUGGACAGCGGAUCGAGCCCAUCGAGUUGGCAACGAAGAUCGAUGUUGUUCAAACGGAGGGACAAUCUCUGUGUACGAGACAUAGUAUUAAUCAAGGAGGACCGUUUGCAUUUAAAUGUAUUGCCCCUUAAUCAAAGCACACUGGGAUAUAGGCUAUGGUAUGCGCCCUAUAACAAAACAUUCUCCAUGGAAUGCAUAUGGAAAUUUACUGAACCAAAAGACCAAAACAAUGAUAAGUUGCACUCUUAUCUUUACAGUCAAACUUGUGAUUUGGACAACAAUUCUCGAAACUAUUUUAUUCUAGGGUUGGUCAUGUUAACAAAACUGCUUCAAUGCUUCAUCAUUUUUAAAUUUUACGAUAUCUCAGGAGUGUGGAUCACAAAUUUCACAAUAUACUCAUUUUGAGUAUCGGGUAUAAAAAGAGAAUUAAUGCGUGCCGCAGCACAAUAAUAACAAACAUGUUCUAAGGCCGGAACAUAUUUCUUCUGGGAGCAGUACAAUUUGAAUAAAAUAGAAUACUUCGUUUAAAAUGGUUUAGGCCACCUCUC